rnacentral:rRNA from 1 species
AGUGAACGCUGGCGGUAGGCCUAACACAUGCAAGUCGAACGGCAGCACAGUACGAGCUUGCUCUUACGGGUGGCGAGUGGCGGAAGGGUGAGGAAUACAUCGGAAUCUACUUUUUCGUGGGGGAUAACGUAGGGAAACUUACGCUAAUACCGCAUACGACCUACGGGUGAAAGCAGGGGAUAUUCUGACCUUGUGCGGUUGAAUGAGCCGAUGUUGGAUUAGCUAGUUGGCGGGGUGAAGGCCAACCCAGGCGCCGAUCCGUAGCUGGAGUGGGAGACUGGUAGGCCACCUUAGAGCUUGACCGCCGUCCUGGCGCCUGCGGUAGGGAGCAGUCGGGAAUAUUAGGCAGUGGGCGCAAGCCUUGUCCAACCAUACGGCGUGUGUUAAGAAGGCCUUCGGGUUGUAAAGCCCGUUUGUUGGUAAAAAAAAGCAUCAGGUUGAUACCCAGCGGUUGUGACGGUACCCAAAGAAGAAGCACCGGCUAACUUCGUG